UACAGGUGCAGGGGAACUGUAGAUGAAAAGGCUUGGCACCUGAGGGGAAGCCUCAGUUCAUUCUCAUUUUACUCACCUGUU
ensembl:miRNA